rnacentral:rRNA from 1 species
UACGGAGGAUGCAAGCGUUAUCCGGAUUCAUUGGGUUUAAAGGGUGCGCAGGCGGAGAUAUAAGUCAGUGGUGAAAAACUGCCGCUCAACGGUAGUCUUGCCAUUGAUACUGUUUCUCUUGAGUAUGGAUGAGGUAGGCGGAAUGUGCAGUGUAACGGUGAAAUGCAUAGAUAUUGCACGGAACACCAAUUGCGAAGGCAGCUUACUGGGCCAUUACUGACGCUCAGGCGCGAAAGCGUGGGGAUCAAA